CAUCCCAGAUUCUAUAUUCGACACUCGUCUGCAGAGUAAACUAAAUUUCUGCAUAGUGACAUAAACUUUCAAAAUUUAGCACGCUAUCCGCUUCGUUUAUUUCAUUUAGAAAUAAACUUAGCUAGAAAUACGAAUCAACUAGGAUUCGAACUUGGAUCUCGGAUACCAACCAUCAAACCCUUUGCCACUUGCUCUAGGGACGGUCGGUAAAAUCUUCUUAUUAACCACCAAGAUUUAUAUUUUGGUUAAAUCUUCUU
rnacentral:lncRNA from 1 species